CAUGGUUCCUUCCAGGCCCCUCUCUUGCCACCCAGAGAGCUGCUCGGAGGCCGCCUACAGGUGCAAUCCCGGCACUGCGGCCCGGGCGGCGGGCCGGGGAGGGCGUCCAAGCCCACCAGCGUCUCCGCUGGCCCUUCUGAAAGCCUGAACAGGGGCCCCGGCGUACCCGCCGCCUUCUACCCCCGCUUUUCCCGCGCCGCUCUCCCGGCGCGGUUUGGAAAGGAAGCUGAGAGCCCUCCCAGGCUCCGCAGACUCGGAUUUGGGAGGGGGGUGGGGCGCGGCGGAGGCUUUCCCUCGAAUCUGCGGCAAGCCUGGCUCCAGGAAAGUUUUUCAAAGUUCCCAGCAGCGUCUGCCCAGGUCGCCUCCGCGGGGCGAGCAGACGGCGGCAAGCGCGCCAGCCUCGCCGCCGCCUCUGCCGCCAGCAGAGCGCUCUGGGCGGCUCGCUCGCGGGAAGCGGGCCGAACUCCCGGCGGGCAAGCAGGCCCUCCUCCCGGGGCGAAAGCCGCAGCUGACGCAGGCGGCUCGGAAGGCGGAAGCUGCCCCGCUCCGACCGCUCAGCCAGCACCGCGGCGCCUACACCUGGGGCCCCGACGCUCGGGCAAAGGCGCCCGGCCCGGGACUCCCGAGGGGGCGGUCCCCGCUGCGGGCCUCCAGGAGUCCCUGAGUAACGAUCCUUUCCCUCCUGGCCCGAAGCUGCCGAGGGCGGGGGUCGGUGUGGGGCCCCUGGACCACUACUCCGCCCAGAGCGUCCCCAAGCCCCCGACCCUUAACAAGUUCCUCACCACACUACCCCUCCCCAGCAACGUGAAGGGAAGGGCGUGUCCUGGGUGGACACGCCCUCUCAUGAAUAUUAAUAAGCGCGCAUGCGCCCUCCCGGGCGUGCUGGUAGAGGUGGCCAGCCGCGGCCGCGGCUGCCAGACGGGCUCUCCGGGUCCCUCUCCGGGCGGGCACGCGUCAUUGUGUUACCUGCGGCCGGCCCGCGAGCUAGGCUGGGGGUUUUUUUCUUCCCUCCCUCCCCCGCUUUUCCAUGCAGCUGAUCUGAAAGGGAAUAAAAGGCUGCACAUAAUCAUAAUAAAAGAAGGGGAGCGCGAGAGGAGGAAAGAAAGCCGGGAGGUGAAAGAGGAGGGGGAGCGUCUCAAAGAAGCGAUCAGAAUAAUAAAAGGAGGCCGGGCUCUUUGCCUUCUGGAACGGGCCGCUCUUGAAAGGGCUUUUGAAAAGUGGUGUUGUUUUCCAGUCGUGCAUGCUCCAAUCGGCGGAGUAUAUUAG
rnacentral:lncRNA from 13 species